rnacentral:tRNA from 1 species
GCGGGUGUGGUGGAAUUGGUAGACACGCGAGAUUUAGGUUCUCGUGUCCGUAAGGACGUAGGGGUUCAAGUCCCUUCACCCGCACCA